rnacentral:lncRNA from 1 species
UUUUUUUUUUUUACACGAAUUUGAGGAAAACCAAAUGAAUUUGAUAGCCAAAUUGAGACAAUUUCAGCAAAUCUGUAAGCAGUUUGUAUGUUUAGUUGGGGUAAUGAAGUAUUUCAGUUUUGUGAAUAGAUGACCUGUUUUUACUUCCUCACCCUGAAUUCGUUUUGUAAAUGUAGAGUUUGGAUGUGUAACUGAGGCGGGGGGGAGUUUUCAGUAUUUUUUUUUGUGGGGGUGGGGGCAAAAUAUGUUUUCAGUUCUUUUUCCCUUAGGUCUGUCUAGAAUCCUAAAGGCAAAUGACUCAAGGUGUAACAGAAAACAAGAAAAUCCAAUAUCAGGAUAAUCAGACCACCACAGGUUUACAGUUUAUAGAAACUAGAGCAGUUCUCACGUUGAGGUCUGUGGAAGAGAUGUCCAUUGGAGAAAUGGCUGGUAGUUACUCUUUUUUCCCCCCACCCCCUUAAUCAGACUUUAAAAGUGCUUAACCCCUUAAACUUGUUAUUUUUUACUUGAAGCAUUUUGGGAUGGUCUUAACAGGGAAGAGAGAGGGUGGGGGAGAAAAUGUUUUUUUCUAAGAUUUUCCACAGAUGCUAUAGUACUAUUGACAAACUGGGUUAGAGAAGGAGUGUACCGCUGUGCUGUUGGCACGAACACCUUCAGGGACUGGAGCUGCUUUUAUCCUUGGAAGAGUAUUCCCAGUUGAAGCUGAAAAGUACAGCACAGUGCAGCUUUGGUUCAUAUUCAGUCAUCUCAGGAGAACUUCAGAAGAGCUUGAGUAGGCCAAAUGUUGAAGUUAAGUUUUCCAAUAAUGUGACUUCUUAAAAGUUUUAUUAAAGGGGAGGGGCAAAUAUUGGCAAUUAGUUGGCAGUGGCCUGUUACGGUUGGGAUUGGUGGGGUGGGUUUAGGUAAUUGUUUAGUUUAUGAUUGCAGAUAAACUCAUGCCAGAGAACUUAAAGUCUUAGAAUGGAAAAAGUAAAGAAAUAUCAACUUCCAAGUUGGCAAGUAACUCCCAAUGAUUUAGUUUUUUUCCCCCCAGUUUGAAUUGGGAAGCUGGGGGAAGUUAAAUAUGAGCCACUGGGUGUACCAGUGCAUUAAUUUGGGCAAGGAAAGUGUCAUAAUUUGAUACUGUAUCUGUUUUCCUUCAAAGUAUAGAGCUUUUGGGGAAGGAAAGUAUUGAACUGGGGGUUGGUCUGGCCUACUGGGCUGACAUUAACUACAAUUAUGGGAAAUGCAAAAGUUGUUUGGAUAUGGUAGUGUGUGGUUCUCUUUUGGAAUUUUUUUCAGGUGAUUUAAUAAUAAUUUAAAACUACUAUAGAAACUGCAGAGCAAAGGAAGUGGCUUAAUGAUCCUGAAGGGAUUUCUUCUGAUGGUAGCUUUUGUAUUAUCAAGUAAGAUUCUAUUUUCAGUUGUGUGUAAGCAAGUUUUUUUUUAGUGUAGGAGAAAUACUUUUCCAUUGUUUAACUGCAAAACAAGAUGUUAAGGUAUGCUUCAAAAAUUUUGUAAAUUGUUUAUUUUAAACUUAUCUGUUUGUAAAUUGUAACUGAUUAAGAAUUGUGAUAGUUCAGCUUGAAUGUCUCUUAGAGGGUGGGCUUUUGUUGAUGAGGGAGGGGAAACUUUUUUUUUUUCUAUAGACUUUUUUCAGAUAACAUCUUCUGAGUCAUAACCAGCCUGGCAGUAUGAUGGCCUAGAUGCAGAGAAAACAGCUCCUUGGUGAAUUGAUAAGUAAAGGCAGAAAAGAUUAUAUGUCAUACCUCCAUUGGGGAAUAAGCAUAACCCUGAGAUUCUUACUACUGAUGAGAACAUUAUCUGCAUAUGCCAAAAAAUUUUAAGCAAAUGAAAGCUACCAAUUUAAAGUUACGGAAUCUACCAUUUUAAAGUUAAUUGCUUGUCAAGCUAUAACCACAAAAAUAAUGAAUUGAUGAGAAAUACAAUGAAGAGGCAAUGUCCAUCUCAAAAUACUGCUUUUACAAAAGCAGAAUAAAAGCGAAAAGAAAUGAAAAUGUUACACUACAUUAAUCCUGGAAUAAAAGAAGCCGAAAUAAAUGAGAGAUGAGUUGGGAUCAAGUGGAUUGAGGAGGCUGUGCUGUGUGCCAAUGUUUCGUUUGCCUCAGACAGGUAUCUCUUCGUUAUCAGAAGAGUUGCUUCAUUUCAUCUGGGAGCAGAAAACAGCAGGCAGCUGUUAACAGAUAAGUUUAACUUGCAUCUGCAGUAUUGCAUGUUAGGGAUAAGUGCUUAUUUUUAAGAGCUGUGGAGUUCUUAAAUAUCAACCAUGGCACUUUCUCCUGACCCCUUCCCUAGGGGAUUUCAGGAUUGAGAAAUUUUUCCAUCGAGCCUUUUUAAAAUUGUAGGACUUGUUCCUGUGGGCUUCAGUGAUGGGAUAGUACACUUCACUCAGAGGCAUUUGCAUCUUUAAAUAAUUUCUUAAAAGCCUCUAAAGUGAUCAGUGCCUUGAUGCCAACUAAGGAAAUUUGUUUAGCAUUGAAUCUCUGAAGGCUCUAUGAAAGGAAUAGCAUGAUGUGCUGUUAGAAUCAGAUGUUACUGCUAAAAUUUACAUGUUGUGAUGUAAAUUGUGUAGAAAACCAUUAAAUCAUUCAAAAUAAUAAACUAUUUUUAUUAGAGAAUGUAUACUUUUAGAAAGCUGUCUCCUUAUUUAAAUAAAAUAGUGUUUGUCUGUAGUUCAGUGUUGGGGCAAUCUUGGGGGGGAUUCUUCUCUAAUCUUUCAGAAACUUUGUCUGCGAACACUCUUUAAUGGACCAGAUCAGGAUUUGAGCGGAAGAACGAAUGUAACUUUAAGGCAGGAAAGACAAAUUUUAUUCUUCAUAAAGUGAUGAGCAUAUAAUAAUUCCAGGCACAUGGCAAUAGAGGCCCUCUAAAUAAGGAAUAAAUAACCUCUUAGACAGGUGGGAGAUUAUGAUCAGAGUAAAAGGUAAUUACACAUUUUAUUUCCAGAAAGUCAGGGGUCUAUAAAUUGACAGUGAUUAGAGUAAUACUUUUUCACAUUUCCAAAGUUUGCAUGUUAACUUUAAAUGCUUACAAUCUUAGAGUGGUAGGCAAUGUUUUACACUAUUGACCUUAUAUAGGGAAGGGAGGGGGUGCCUGUGGGGUUUUAAAGAAUUUUCCUUUGCAGAGGCAUUUCAUCCUUCAUGAAGCCAUUCAGGAUUUUGAAUUGCAUAUGAGUGCUUGGCUCUUCCUUCUGUUCUAACUUCACAGAGAAUGCAGUUGUCUUGACUUCAGGUCUGUCUGUUCUGUUGGCAAGUAAAUGCAGUACUGUUCUGAUCCCGCUGCUAUUAGAAUGCAUUGUGAAACGACUGGAGUAUGAUUAAAAGUUGUGUUCCCCAAUGCUUGGAGUAGUGAUUGUUGAAGGAAAAAAUCCAGCUGAGUGAUAAAGGCUGAGUGUUGAGGAAAUUUCUGCAGUUUUAAGCAGUCGUAUUUGUGAUUGAAGCUGAGUACAUUUUGCUGGUGUAUUUUUAGGUAAAAUGCUUUUUGUUCAUUUCUGGUGGUGGGAGGGGACUGAAGCCUUUAGUCUUUUCCAGAUGCAACCUUAAAAUCAGUGACAAGAAACAUUCCAAACAAGCAACAGUCUUCAAGAAAUUAAACUGGCAAGUGGAAAUGUUUAAACAGUUCAGUGAUCUUUAGUGCAUUGUUUAUGUGUGGGUUUCUCUCUCCCCUCCCUUGGUCUUAAUUCUUACAUGCAGGAACACUCAGCAGACACACGUAUGCGAAGGGCCAGAGAAGCCAGACCCAGUAAGAAAAAAUAGCCUAUUUACUUUAAAUAAACCAAACAUUCCAUUUUAAAUGUGGGGAUUGGGAACCACUAGUUCUUUCAGAUGGUAUUCUUCAGACUAUAGAAGGAGCUUCCAGUUGAAUUCACCAGUGGACAAAAUGAGGAAAACAGGUGAACAAGCUUUUUCUGUAUUUACAUACAAAGUCAGAUCAGUUAUGGGACAAUAGUAUUGAAUAGAUUUCAGCUUUAUGCUGGAGUAACUGGCAUGUGAGCAAACUGUGUUGGCGUGGGGGUGGAGGGGUGAGGUGGGCGCUAAGCCUUUUUUUAAGAUUUUUCAGGUACCCCUCACUAAAGGCACCGAAGGCUUAAAGUAGGACAACCAUGGAGCCUUCCUGUGGCAGGAGAGACAACAAAGCGCUAUUAUCCUAAGGUCAAGAGAAGUGUCAGCCUCACCUGAUUUUUAUUAGUAAUGAGGACUUGCCUCAACUCCCUCUUUCUGGAGUGAAGCAUCCGAAGGAAUGCUUGAAGUACCCCUGGGCUUCUCUUAACAUUUAAGCAAGCUGUUUUUAUAGCAGCUCUUAAUAAUAAAGCCCAAAUCUCAAGCGGUGCUUGAAGGGGAGGGAAAGGGGGAAAGCGGGCAACCACUUUUCCCUAGCUUUUCCAGAAGCCUGUUAAAAGCAAGGUCUCCCCACAAGCAACUUCUCUGCCACAUCGCCACCCCGUGCCUUUUGAUCUAGCACAGACCCUUCACCCCUCACCUCGAUGCAGCCAGUAGCUUGGAUCCUUGUGGGCAUGAUCCAUAAUCGGUUUCAAGGUAACGAUGGUGUCGAGGUCUUUGGUGGGUUGAACUAUGUUAGAAAAGGCCAUUAAUUUGCCUGCAAAUUGUUAACAGAAGGGUAUUAAAACCACAGCUAAGUAGCUCUAUUAUAAUACUUAUCCAGUGACUAAAACCAACUUAAACCAGUAAGUGGAGAAAUAACAUGUUCAAGAACUGUAAUGCUGGGUGGGAACAUGUAACUUGUAGACUGGAGAAGAUAGGCAUUUGAGUGGCUGAGAGGGCUUUUGGGUGGGAAUGCAAAAAUUCUCUGCUAAGACUUUUUCAGGUGAACAUAACAGACUUGGCCAAGCUAGCAUCUUAGCGGAAGCUGAUCUCCAAUGCUCUUCAGUAGGGUCAUGAAGGUUUUUCUUUUCCUGAGAAAACAACACGUAUUGUUUUCUCAGGUUUUGCUUUUUGGCCUUUUUCUAGCUUAAAAAAAAAAAAA